CUCACAGAAGUUAUAGCUGGCCUUGACAGUGGUAUUUUUGUCUUCAAAAUGUAUUGCUAUUUUAAAAACCAGUUAAACGCACUUAAUUGAAGAAAGCUGUAUUGCCUUAGUACUUUUCAUUGCAUUUGUGAGCUUCCACCUGUCAGCCAGCUUGACUGUGUUCAAAUGAGAUAUCCACACACCAGCUUCUUUGAGCAGCAGCAAAUGACCGUGGGGAACUGAACAGGAAGAACUUGUAAACUCUUUGCACUGCUGAAAGAUAUCCACGAGUCUUUCAUUCAGGAAGAUACACUCAGAGAGACUGCUGUUGAUGAGAUGUUCUUCUUUCCAGCUACAGAGACAGAUGCAGAGCUGAACUCUGGCCAUUUGUGUGUGGGAAACCAAAGUGAAAGUCCAGUUGCUUUGAAGCUCUGUGAAGGCUGAAGGUAGAAGGGACCUCAAUUAUUUUACUUCAGCCCAUGGGAUCCCACUUCAGUUGCAGCUGUUUGAAUUAACAUGUCUUCUUGCUGCAUCUCCUGGCUGAGGAAAGUGCAAGAAGUGCUGUCAUGGCCAGCAGAACAAACAGAUACCUGAUGUAUUACUUCAUCAGCAAAUUCAACAAGGCCAAGAUGUCUUCAUUUUCCUUCAGAGCAAGAGCUGUAAGAGCAGUGUGGUGGAAGUAUUGGUCUUCUGUGGCCAGCCGGCAAGAACCCAUCAACAGCUGUGAUGAGCAGAGCAGACAUGGGAGACAGGAGGCAGCUGAAGCCAAAGAGGACCCACGCCUGGAGCUGUGUCUGUGUGAUUGGAGCAGAGAGAGGCCAGGACCCAAGGAAAUCCCAGCAGCAAGGGAAAAAAACAGAUUGACUCUCAGUGACUCAUUUAGCUCCUGGAUUGGACAGAUCUCUCCCCUGCUGGCAAUUUGGCUGAGCAUCAAUGGCCAGAUACCAGGAUGA
rnacentral:lncRNA from 13 species